rnacentral:rRNA from 1 species
AGCGAACGCUGGCGGCAGGCCUAACACAUGCAAGUCGAGCGCCGUAGCAAUACGGAGCGGCAGACGGGAUAGUAACACGUGGGAACGUGCCCUUUGGUUCGGAAUAACUCAGGGAAAUUUGAGCUAAUACCGGAUAAGCCCUUCGGGGGAAAGAUUUAUUGCCAUUGGAGCGGCCCGCGUCGGAUUAGCUAGUUGGUGAGGUAAUGGCUCACCAAGGCGACGAUCCGUAGCUGGUCUGAGAGGAUGACCAGCAUCACUGGGACUGAGACACGGCCCAGACUCCUACGGGAGGCAGCAGUGGGGAAUAUUGGACUAUGGGCGCAAGCCUGAUCCAGCCAUGCCGCGUGGAUGAUGAAGGCCCUAGGGUUGUAAAGUCCUUUUAACGGGGAAGAUAAUGACGGUACCCGUAGAAUAAGCCCCGGCUAACUUCGUGCCAGCAGCCGCCGUAA